rnacentral:lncRNA from 1 species
AUUUUUCAAUUUUUUAAUUCAAUUUCAAUUCACUUCCUGAAUUAAAACAUUUAAUUGACCCCAUCCUUGACUUGAAUUAAAUCCCACUUUAAAAAGCUUAUAUUGUCCUUCAAUAUUGACUUUUGCUUGUGCUGCCCUUUACAAAAAUAAGUUUAUGGCAAAUUUGCUGCAAAUAAAUGUUGCCAGAAGUUUGCAAAUGUUUGCCACCAGUGGUGAAUCUGCAGCAAACCUUAGGCAACAAUAGUAUGUAAUGCCACUAGUGGCAAACAGCUUGCCAGAAGUAGUUCCAAGACCAGUAAGCAUUGAUGACCAGUUAGUGGGAGAAGAAAAAUCUAUUGAAGUGAUCUACCUUCCAAGUUGUACAAUGGAUACCCUUCCCCUACCCGUCGUGUUGGAAGAGGCUGCAUUGGGAAGAGGAUGCAUCAACACCCUGGAAAUAUGUUUGUGGUGCAUUCACUCAUAACAGUUGUUUUUUUUGCGAUAAAUGAGUGUAAUGUAAUCUUCUUCAAGUUUGAUAAGUGCAUGCAGUUAUUAAGCUUUGGACGAAGGACUUCCACAAGGCCGCCAUCUCCAAAGUUCACUCAAAAAGGCAAUAGUUUUUUUUGUGUGUAUAUUAUUAUUUUUUCACUUCCAUUGGUUGAAAGCUAAUUUCUCAUCAGUAAUCACUUAGUUCAUGAACAUAAACAUCCUAAGGUUAAAAUCCCCAUAACCCAUAGUGUUCACAUUUCUCUCAUGUAAAUAUUGUAGCUACAUAAAAAUAUGAAAUAAACUAUUUAUUUGGGGAA